CAACCCUCAAACCCCCGGGUUUGGUGUUGGGGAUCGGAUUGCUAGUCAAUCCGUCUCCGAAAUCUAGUGGCGGUCUCGCUGCAGCCUCCAUUGCGUAGUAGCUAACACCUCGCAACUGGAACGCGGCGCGGCCAUGCCGUUAAACACCCAACUUCUGAA
rnacentral:misc_RNA from 1 species